GUAAAUAUGUAUGUUUUAAUUAACAGAAUACUGAAUAUACACAGUUAUGCCGCAUUUCUCCUUUUGAAAAACAAUCUCCUUUUGAACUGAAUUGUUUCUUUUUUUCACUAUCACAAAUAAUUUUGCAAUUGGUUUUGAAUUUUUUUCUAAGAAAUCAGUUUAUGCAUAAAAUAGUCAUUGCCUUUUAUGUUUAAUAUUUAAUUAUGAUAUAUGCAAAAAUAGGUAACUUUCUUACCCAAACUUCAGUAACAGGAGCAACAUAUUUGUAAUUUAGUAACCAGACAUUUGCCUGCAUAUAACCAGUAAGUUAUCUCUUUUCCUGUUUGCCCCGAGAAUACUCACCAGCAGCACAUGCAGCUGCAGCAUUUACCCCGAGAUAACCUUACCACAAAAUCUCUCGCUUUUAUUAUGAUUUCCACAUCUCUCUAGUAUAUUGACUUUGAAAACAAAAGACAUUAUUCUAUUGGUAGCAUUCUGGUUUUAGUAGUAGUGUUUCCAUUUACAAAGUAUGGUAAUUCUCAACCGCUGAAAAUGGCAAAUCCUAGAAAACAUAGCAUUCUUGCGCAUGAUGUUAACAUUGUUCUCGAACAGUUGUUGGUCGAAGAUUUAUUGGAUGAAUCCAUUUUUUCCAAAAUAGACUAUUAAAGAGCAUGUUUAUGUAAAAUUAAAUGAGCUCUGGCAGCGGGCUGCACUGUCUUUUUCUAAACGGGAACAUAAACUACAAAGUGCUAUUUACCUUAAUGACUCAGAUAAGGCAAAAAUCCCGGGGAUGAACUACAGAAAAAGAGAAGGAUUAAAAGUGAGAGAACUGAGGAAGUCAUCUGUGUGCCUGAUUACUUCUAUGUCUUUACUCGACCAAAUCCUUUCAUUCAAUUUGUUAGAAAUAUGAUUUUAAUUAUUGCUCCUACUGAAAAUAAACUUGUCUAAUUACUUGAAUAAUUGUAUAAAUGUACCUAUAUGCAUAAGUAGCAACAUUAUCAUGGUCAAUUUGUCCUAUCUGGCAACAGUCAAACACAUUUUCAUGAAUUAAAUUUCUAUAAUAAUUGCAGAUACAGAAGAAAACAUAGAUCCAGUAAAAUAGAUCAAUUAGGUGAAAAAAUUUUCCAGAAUAGACUAAUGAUAAUAUGAUACUAUGUAUUAUUUACUCCCAGAGAAUUUUUCUAUAUCAAUAUUUUUAUUACAUCUAACAGAUAAUACAAGUUUCUGUCUUCUUCAGAGAAUCAUUUCCAGACCCUGUGCAUACCCACAAGGUGCACAAAUCUUAAUAAUUGCAUGACUGAAGGCACACUGGCGUGAAUUUGACAAAUCUGUGAAUUGUCAGAAGAAGCAGGACAGUUAUGAGAGAGAGCAUAUGAGGAUAAGCAAAUACACAGUUGGAUAGAAAAAUGGUUAGAUGAUUAGAUUAGAUACAUAGAUAAUAGAUAGAUGGAUAGAUAGGAUAAAUAUAUGGUAUUUGAAAUUGAAUAUUUGUAUAUUUCACACACUGUCAUAAGGGCUUUGUGUAAAUUACGCUUCUUAGCCUUUACGGUAAUCCUAUGAAGUGGGCAUCUUAAAUGAGAUGUAAUAUUUGAGACUUUAAGCUGAAUUGCAGAUGAUCUCACACUCAAUAAAUGACACAUUCAGGAUUCAAAUGAAUUUGAAAGCAUAGACUCUCACUUAUUCAUGCAAUACAAUCCAGUCACCAUUAUGUGCCAGCACCAUUCUAGGCAUCACUGAUAAAGUGGGAAAUAAAACAGACCAAGUUUCUGCCAUCCUAUUUCUUAUACUGUACUGAGGAGAAGAGACAAAAAAUAUAUAAGUACAUAAUAUAUUAGGAGCUAAUGGACAUUGUGAAAAAAGUAAAAUCAAAGUGAAGGAAAAGAUCGAGUCAGGGAGUCUAAACACUGUUUUUUAUAGGAAAGAAGAUGUUUGAGCAGAGACCUGAAUGGAGCCCAGCACUGCCAUCAGGCUAUCUGGAUGAAGGACAUUUCUUGCAAAAGAAAAAGCUCAAAUAUUCCCAGGUCAUCAUCAAUUAUGUACCCAUGGCCAUUCUGACAAACGACAGGUAAGUUUCACUAAGCACCAACCCAUCUGCAGGGUAAGAAAAAUAACUAAGUUAACUUCAAAUUAAGAAAAUAGGAAAAAGUGUCUCAGUUUUCCCAAGAAGCCUAAUAGAUGGGGCUACCACCCACCUCUUAUGGAUAGUGGGAAGUCUGUUGUAAAUCAUGACUCAGUUGCUUAUGAGCUCACUGUCUCUUUUCCCUUUAGGUGAAAGGAGGUUACUAAACACUUUCCUUGACCUGCCCAUCCUCCUGCCCUAGGACCAAGCCACAAGCAUAUUAGAAAACAGAAAACAAGCCGAGGAAAGUCUUUCUGGGUUUUUAGCAUGUGCUUCCCUCUGAAAUUAUAUUUUUCAAAUAUAAAUUUAGAAUAAGAGAAAAUAAUGGAAGUCCAUGUUUUAAUUGCAAUGUUGUCUCAAUCCAUUCCCCUACAGAAUACACUCAAGUAAUCCAUGGUAUUUCAUGGUAUUUUUUCU
rnacentral:lncRNA from 10 species